UGGAUUUCAUAAGCAAAAGAACUCUGGGCAAUCCCUUUUGAAAUCCUUUUUUUUUUACACAGAUUCCUUGUGGAUUGGAAUAUAACAUUCAGAGCUGUAUUGAUCAAUAUAUUGAUCGUGGCCAUGGGGGAUGUAACCAGCACAAAGAACCUGGUGACCGGCUGGGGGAGAGACACACAGAAAUCACUGGGAAAGUCAUAAUCCUUCCCCUGCUGACAUGAAUGAGUUUGCAGCUUUAUUGCAGAAAUACAAGAAGGAGAAAUUAAUCUUCAGCCACAAAACCAGAAUGCUGGCACAGAGGGACAUGAGCCACCUGACUCAGCAGGAUGUAUGGAUGAAGGAAGCAGCUGCUCUCAAAAAAUGAGACUGCCGUGCCUGGGAAAUGAAAUACGGAGAGAGUCAGUCUAUUCAGGAGAGCCAACACAGGAUUUCUCUCUUGAAGUGAGAACUGAUGACGCUGAUCACUUGAACUGUUUGUACUAACCAGGCCAAAGAAGACCAAUACCAGCCAACCAUUUCCUAUAGUUGGUGUGCCUGGAGUGUAAUGAUGCUGUUACACAGAUAAAUUGUGUUGCCAUCAAAGGAAAAUAUCAGAGAAAUUAAUAACAGGCUAAUUUAGUGGCUGUCUCAGGGAAGGCUUCUAGAGGAAACCCUGUAAGUAUUUUGGCUGUGCUUUAUCUGCCCUUCAAGCCUCCUGCUGCCAAGGUCUUAACUCCUAGCAGGGAAACAGGGAGGUAAGUGUCCAGCCAAACAAUGGGGGCACUGCCAGGGCUGAAUGCAACCUUACUAAAUGAGUCACUGCCAUGGCAAUUUCUCAGCAAAGGGUGGACGUGGCAUUGAGGGACAUGGCUUAGUGGUAUGGUGGUGAUGGGUUGACUGUUGGACCUUGUAAUCCUAGUGUUUUUUUCCAAACGUAAUGAGUCUGUGAUAGACAAACUUGGUCAGCGAGGCUGCUGUAGCAGAACUCCUGCUGAGGCACAUUCCCCAUGUGUGCCUCCAUGAAUUCAGCAGCCACAGCUGCUUUGCAUUGCCAGCUUGGAAAUGCUCAGUUUCAUCUUCUCCAGCUGUAAAUCAUGUUGCUUAAUUAAUCCUCAUUAAGUGUUGUGGGCAUCUCUCAAGCUCCGUUAACUCUUUAUUUAAUUACAGUAUCAUAACAUAUAAUGUUCUCUGUUUGAAGGGAUGCUUUAUGCAAUGGUUUAAUCCAGAAACUGAAAGAAUUAAUUAGUUCCUAGAAUAUGUCUCUAAACGGGUGGCUAAUUAAGCCGUGAGUUUAUCACAAGUGCCUGGACUCAUCAGCCAUCAUAAUCUAUUGCUGAUACUGCACAGAAUCAGAAACACAUUGCAUGGCUCUGUGGUUCUCAGAUCUCUGUAGGUUCUUCUGAAGUAGAAAUCAGGUAAAUAUUUAACAGAGAUAUCUGGCUUCCAUCAGCCGAACUCCUGGCCAACAGCCAGACAAACUCACAAGCUGCUCUUGUUCCAAGAAGGUCUCCCUGAGAGCUGCCCCGCUGUACCCAGCUCUGGGGUCAGGGUUUGACUCCCACAGUGUGGUUUCCAUCUGUGCAGCUUUCUGCCGUGCUCUUCCUCCUUUGCUGCACUGGCUGCUCCCUCAGCAGCAUAACUGGCAGUGCAUAGAGGGAACUGCAACGGGGUGAUGAGUACUGUCUUCGUGCCCCAUCCAGACACAGUCAAACACUCACUGCAUCACAUGAUGAAGAAAAGCACACAGAGCCUGACUGAUCUUCUACCCAAAUUUCCAUGAAUGUUCAACGCUGCUUCCUGAACUGAGCAGGGUGGUUUAGAUGCAUCAGCAACCCUUCCACACUCAGGACACUUGAGUUUUGCUGCUAGGAGACAGAGCAGUACACGAUGAUCUUUGGAGACUCAAAAACAAGCGUUGAGAGGGAAUUACUCCCAGGCAGCACGCAGCUUUCAUUCAUACUUCAGGAAUCAGCUUCAUCCAAAUGGGGAGAAAAUCCAGCUGGCCCCAAGCCCUCCCAAGCAUAGAUGCUGUUUUUCCGGUACAUAUGGCAGUACCAUUCAAAGAGCUAUGACAAUGAGGCUGUUUAUAGCUCUGAAAAUGGCGCUGCCAUCUGCACCACGGCCGUGGCUCUGCUCCCUGGAGGCUCAGCACAGGGUGGUCCCAGCCCUGCUCUUCCACCUGCUCCGUUGUCCCACUCCUGCCUCAGAAGCUGGGUUAAAUGAGAGUGGAGGUGCGGUUUGGGUUGAGAAAUCCCUGCCACCUUGAUAGUUAUUAUUGCCCUUUCCGGAUGGAAGCCAUUUUUUGGCUGGAUAUUUCCAGUUGCUCUUUGAGAAGUCUUAAAAAUUGAAAGAUUUGUGCUUUGGAAAAUGAUACUGACUCUCAUUUGUGCUGCUGAGACACCUUCCAAGGCAACUGCUGUGUGACUACAACUGUAACUGCCAUCAGAUAUUAUUGUCAUCACCCCAAGGCGUCAUUAAAGUAGGGAGAAAGACAAAAAGAAGCCUUUCCUGCUCCUUGGCGCUGACGUCCUGCCUGCGGUAUCUGAGGAAAGCCCCACCUGGCCAUGAUACAGCCCAAGGGGAGCUCAUGGGUUGGAGCAGCCUCCUGGGCACUGUCUCAUCCUCCAGGGCAGCCAAGUGGGAUGUGACAGCUCCAGCCACGCUCUGGGACACAUCCCACAUCACCCCACUGCCCCAUGCAGCUUUUGGCCCCCAAUUUCCACACUCUCACUCUUUCAGAGCUCAAUCCUCCUUUUCGCCUACAAGAUUUUUUAGGCCAUGGCUCUGCUUUCUUUAGUAUUUCAGGAAACAUACGCUGUUAAAGCUUCACACAGAACUGUUUAAAGGACCAAAGGGUGAAACUGUGCGUUUCUGUUGCUCUGUCUCUGUAGGCAACCAUGAAUGCUCAGCAAUGGCUUAGUGAAUUUGUUAGAAAACUUCUCCCUUUUUAACCAUCCUGGGGAGCUCCCUCUGAUGACCCCAAAAAGUGGAGCUUCCUGGUUUAAUGAGCUGGUAAAAAUUGUUGCGUUUGGAUUCUUUUACGUGUUUGCUGUUGUUUGCUU